rnacentral:misc_RNA from 1 species
GAUGAAGAACGCAGCGAAAUGCGAUACUUGGUGUGAAUUGCAGAAUCCCGUGAACCAUCGAGUCUUUGAACGCAAGUUGCGCCCGAAGCCAUUAGGCCGAGGGCACGCCUGCCUGGGCGUCACACGUCGUUGCCCCCCCAUCUACUCCUUCGGGAUUGCGGGGGGCGGAUGAUGGCCUCCCGUGCGCCUCGUCGCGCGGUUGGCAUAAAUGCCAAGUCCUCGGCGACGCACGCCACGACAAUCGGUGGUUGCGAAACCUCGGUUGCACGUCGUGUGCGGUCGUCGCGCAUCGAGGGCUCGAAAAAAUUGCCGGGCUCCGGCUCGGCUUUCAACGCGACCCCAGGUCAGGCGGGGUUACCCGCUGAAUUUAAGCAUAUCAAUAAGCGGAGGA